rnacentral:rRNA from 1 species
UACGAAGGGGGCUAGCGUUGCUCGGAUUUACUGGGCGUAAAGGGCGCGUAGGCGGAUGUUUAAGUCGGGGGUGAAAGCCCGGGGCUCAACCUCGGAAUUGCCUUCGAUACUGGACAUCUUGAGUACGGGAGAGGUGAGUGGAACUCCGAAUGUAGAGGUGAAAUUCGUAGAUAUUCGGAAGAACACCAGUGGCGAAGGCGACUCACUGGCCCGUUACUGACGCUGAGGCGCGAAAGCGUGGGGAGCAAACAGG